rnacentral:tRNA from 2 species
GAAGUCUAAGAUAAGAUGAAAGCUGCUAACUUAUCAUCAUAGCGGUUUAAUUCCGUUAAAACUUCU